ensembl:lncRNA
AUCCCAUCUGACCCUGGCUCACCUGGGAUCAGCAGCUCUGCCCCGAAGUCAGCCGUGCAAACCAUCUGUGUUUCCUGUGCCCAGCCCCUGAGUCCCGUGUCCUACACACCCUCUACAGUGUCCCAGCAACCUGCACACUGACCAGCGGGGAUGUUCACUCACCACUGCCAUUUAGAGAUGAGAACUUUGAAACAACAGAUAAAGUGAGCCAUCUGCCAAGUCGAUGCAGUGGGUUUCCCUGUCCCCGAGGAGCAGGAGUCACAGGGCACCAUAUUUUCUCGGGGGACACUGUGCAAUCGCCACUGUUGGCUACAUGCAGAUCAAAGGAAGUGACCUCGGGACAUCCCUGUAGACUGACCUCUGCUACAGAGAAUUGCCCAUGCCCGCAGGUCAGGUACCCCUGGGUAUCCUGGUUGGUACCCUUGGGCGGGCAGAUGGCACAGUGUCUCUGGCUACCAGGUGCCUGGUUCAACAGUCUAGGUGAGGGAUUUUGAAGGUUCCACAGAGGGAGCAGAAAAGACCAGAUGCCCCACACUUCACUGGCAUGUGGGGGGCGGGCAGGUGUUCAUGAGGGGCCUGAGAGGGAGGUGAGAGGCUUGGAACACCCCCAGGCCACGUGGGCUGUUGGCAUCCUAGCAGAGGAUGACAGGGACGCUGUGUUCGUCACUGCUGUGCAGAAACACAAGGUACCAUCCGAUCCGCAAGUGGGAGUGGGGGGCUCCGUCAUCUGCAGGCUUCUGUGGGAGCAAUCUCUCGGCCCCUCAUCUUGCCCCAGAGGCGCAGCGCCGAGAGCAGAUGGUGAGGGGGAGGAGGGUGGGUCCCGAUUCCUGAGUCACUUGUCUGCCGGGCUUCCUUUUGGGGGUGCUGGCAAGUACAGCACGCUCCAUCAUCGCGGACAAAUUGGUGGCCGGAUGGCAGGGAGGCGAGGGUCAGACAAAGGAGGUGAUGCUGGGAGUGCCUCACACCCAGUCAGGAGGUGAUUAAGCUGUGGAGGAGAAAGCCGGGGAGUCAUCGCUGACUCAGGGAUGAGGCUGCUGCUCUGUUCUCGCCUCACCUGCCCGCUCACUCGCAGGCUGGAGCGGGGAGGC